UCGGUUCGAUAAAUGUCGUUGCGCACGUAUUUUGAUGUUUGAAAAUAUAUGCUUUUUUAUCGUAUAAAAUACCGUAUAACGAUACCAACACCUUUUAACAAGUUACAGAAUCGCACUACAGUAGGCCUAUUCUGUAACUUCCCAGACAGCACAAAGACGUCUAAAAGACGACUAAGGUGCUCUGACUACUGUGUAAGCCACUUAACCAACAGAUAAGUGUACGUACUACGGUGGAAACAGAAAAAUAUUGGAAGAUUGAAGCACAUUGAAGCACAAUAUUACUGUGGAUUAAAGUGUUGGUUAUGCACUGGCAAUUUGGGAUAUUAUGAUAAUGAUGGAAAACUCUUCGUUGUUGGUCAAAUAUCAGAUUUCAUUCUUUUUGGAGCAAUCAAUGUUUUGCCCAUGGAAAUUGAAACUAUUUUACAGAAUUAUCCCGCGGUAUUCGAAGCGGCGGUAAAAAGAAUGUCUCAUGAAGUCGAUGAGCAGCAUCCUAUGAAAUGGUUAUUGUUUCUGUCAGGUAAAAUGGAUCGUUUACAUAGAGCAGUGGAGUUUUAUCACAAGUAUAAACUUUAUAAUUCCGUAAUAUCUUUAUAAGUCCAAGUUUAGUCUGAU